UGUAAAAAUUGUAGCUGAACUGCAGAACGCGCACGCUCAGCCAUUGACAACAGGAAGUUAAGGGGAAUCAAGUUCUUGAGGCCAAUGUGAAAUGCACCCCUCCAUAACCCGUGAGGACAUUGUACCACAGCAGUGCACAGCCUGUUGCACUUUUUAUCACUGCCCACUAUGCCCUGCCCUGCAGCCUAUCAGGUUGGGAAGAAUGCAACAACAGUUAGAUGGGCAUUUUAAAAUUGCAAUAACUUUUGAAGGUAAUGCAAGGUGGAGUAUUACAAUGUAACUUGGGUGACUGGAUAAUUUAUGUGCGACAAGGCACUGAACUAUAGCACAAGAAAAACUGAGAAGUUUAGCCAGACAUGGGAAAAAAUAUUCUUUAAUAUAGUGUGUAAAGUGUCCCCCAAGACAGAGUCUGUUUUCAGUCUACUUUUAAGGCAUUGUACAGUUUUAGUCGUAGAAAAACCAUUCAUGGCUUAUAAUGUGUAAUUAUGUGGGGGGAUUUUAAAUUUGUACAAGCAAUGAAUGCUGAUGAAGAUUUCAGUGUGAAUAAGGAUGUUCUAGCUCCAUUUUGUUUUGGCUUUAGCCGUGUGCAAGAUAUGCACAGAUUUUUGGAAGAAAUGAUUGACUGCAGGAAGGUCACCAUGUACUGUUCCCUCCUUAACUAAAUUAGACGUUCUUAUUGGUUUGUUUUGUUUAGUUUUUUUUAGGCUGUUAUCUCUUAUCUGAAAAAAAUAAACAUUUGAUUCUUGA